CCGGGGACAGGGCUACCUCUUCAAAGACCCGUCAAUCAUGUGUUGUGAAACAAACGACGUGAAGGCCUACUUUAGAAUUACAAGGACUACAGAAGAAAUGGGAUCCCAAAUUGAAACUGGAAGCAGAUCAUGGGUCACACCCAAUGAUACACCGCUGAGCGAAAAAGAGAUGCAAUACUUCACACCCUGAAGAUGUACUUGGGGGGGAAUUGCCAGAAGAUUUUUUUGUGUGGG